GGAUUAGGCAUGCAAGUCGCGCGAGAAUUCCCGCAAGGGAAGGACAGCGGCGAAAGGGAGAGUAACGCGUGGAUAUCUGCCCUCAGACCCGGGAUAGCUGCGGGAAACUGCAGGUAAUACCGGAUAAUGUCUCCGGACCAAAGGUGUGAUUCCGUCUGAGGAUGAGUCCGCGUCCUAUUAGCUAGUUGGCGGGGUAAUGGCCCACCAAGGCGAUGAUGGGUACUGGGUGUGAGAGCACGACCCAGCUCACUGGGACUGAGACACUGCCCAGACACCUACGGGUGGCUGCAGUCGAGAAUCUUCGGCAAUGGACGCAAGUCUGACCGAGCGACGCCGCGUGCGGGAUGAAGGCCUUCGGGUUGUAAACCGCUGUCGUAGGGGAGGAAAUUCCGGAGGGUACUUCCUCCGGAUUGACUGAUCCUAGGAGGAAGGACCGGCUAAUCUCGUGCCAGCAGCCGCGGUAAUA
rnacentral:rRNA from 1 species